GGAAGGAUGCCAGAGCGGACGAAUGGGACGGCCUCGAAAGCCGUUGAGGUCUUCGGGCCUCCGUGGGUUCGAAUCCCACUCCUUCUGCCA
rnacentral:tRNA from 2 species